rnacentral:rRNA from 1 species
GACGAACGCUGGCGGCGUGCUUAACACAUGCAAGUCGAACGGAAAGGCCCUGCUUUUGUGGGGUGCUCGAGUGGCGAACGGGUGAGUAACACGUGAGUAAACUGCCCUUGACUUUGUGAUAACUUCAGGAAACUGGGGCUAAUACCGGAUAGGAGCUCCUGCUGCAUGGUGGGGGUUGGAAAGUUUCGGCGGUUGGGGAUGGACUGGCGGCUUAUCAGCUUGUUGGUGGGGUAGUGGCUUACCAAGGCUUUGACGGGUAGCCGGCCUGAGAGGUUGACCGGCCACAUGGGGACUGAGAGACGGCGCAGACGCCUACGUGAGGCAGCAGUGGGGAAUAUUGCGCAAUGGGCGGAAGUCUGAGACGGCAACGUCGCGUGCGGGAUGACGGCCUUCGGGUGGUAAACAGAUUUCGCCUGUGACGAAGAGUGAGUGACGGUAAUGGGUAAGGAAGCACCGGCUAACUACGUG